rnacentral:rRNA from 1 species
UACGGAGGGUGCAAGCGUUAUCCGGAUUCACUGGGCUUAAAGGGUGCGUAGGUGGUCAGGUAAGUCAGUGGUGAAAUCUCUGGGCUUAACCCAGAAACUGCCGUUGAUACUAUCUGUCUUGAAUAUAGUGGAGGUGAGCGGAAUAUGUCAUGUAGCGGUGAAAUGCUUAGAUAUGACAUAGAACACCCAUUGCGAAGGCAGCUCGCUAGACUAUUAUUGACACUGAGGCACGAAAGCGUGGGGAGCAAACAGG